rnacentral:misc_RNA from 1 species
ACUCUUCAACCCCCAUAUUUUGUAACGAGAUAUGGUGAGGCUUGGUUUCUGAGUGUAUGCUGGAUCCAUCUGGAUCGAAGCUCGCUCGUAAUAUAUUAGCAUCCUUCUCAUCGAGAUCAGAUUGACUCGGCGUAAUAGACUAUUCGCUGAGGACAUGUCAUUUUGACGUGGCUGACCUUUGAUACUAUUUGCUGGAAGCUUAUAAACCCGACAUAACUAGUCAAAUUUCUAAG